rnacentral:rRNA from 1 species
CCUACGGGUGGCAGCAGUGGGGAAUAUUGCACAAUGGAGGGAACUCUGAUGCAGCGACGCCGCGUGAGUGAAGAAGUAAUUCGGUAUGUAAAGCUCUAUCAGCAGAGAAGAAAGUGACGGUACCUGACAAAGAAGCUCCGGCUAAAUACGUGCCAGCAGCCGCGGUAAUACGGAGGGAGCAAGCGUUAUCCGGGUUUACUGGGUGUAAAGGGAGAGUAGGUGGCAGAGCAAGUCCGAAGUGAAAACCCAAGGCUUAACCAUGGGAAUGCUUUAGAAACUGGUCAGCUAGAGUGCAGGAGAGGAAGGUGGAAUUCUUGGUGUAGCGGUGAAAUGCGUAGAUAUUAAGAGGAACACCAGUGGCGAAGGCGGCUUGCUGGACUGUAACUGACACUGAGGCUCGAAAGCGUGGGGAGCAAACAGGAUUAGAUACCCGUGUAGUC